rnacentral:rRNA from 1 species
CAACAGCCACGGGAAUACGUAGGUGGCAAGCGUUGUCCGGAAUUACUGGGCGUAAAGCGUGCGCAGGCGGUUUAGUAAGUCUGGAGUUAAAGGCAUUGGCUCAACCAAUGUAUGCUUUGGAAACUGUUUGACUUGAGUGCAGAAGGGGAGAGUGGAAUUCCAUGUGUAGCGGAGAAAUGCGUAGAUAUAUGGAGGAACACCGGUGGCGAAAGCGGCUCUCUGGUCUGUCACUGACGCUGAGGCUCGAAAGCGUGGGUAGCGAACAGGAUUAGAUACCCGUGUAGUCCCUGUCUCUUAUACA